GACGAACGCUGGCGGCGUGCUUAACACAUGCAAGUCGAACGGAAAGGCCCUGCUUUUGUGGGGUGCUCGAGUGGCGAACGGGUGAGUAACACGUGAGUAACCUGCCCUUGACUUUGGGAUAACUUCAGGAAACUGGGGCUAAUACCGGAUAGGAGCUCCUGCUGCAUGGUGGGGGUUGGAAAGUUUCGGCGGUUGGGGAUGGACUCGCGGCUUAUCAGCUUGUUGGUGGGGUAGUGGCUUACCAAGGCUCUGACGGGUAGCCGGCCUGAGAGGGUGACCGGCCACAUUGGGACUGAGAUACGGCCCAGACUCCUACGGGAGGCAGCAGUGGGGAAUAUUGCACAACGGGCGGAAGCCUGAUGCAGCAACGCCGCGUGCGGGAUGACGGCCUUCGGGUUGUAAACCGCUUUCGCCUGUGACGAAGCGUGAGUGACGGUAAUGGGUAAAGAAGCACCGGCUAACUACGUG
rnacentral:rRNA from 1 species